rnacentral:rRNA from 1 species
UACGGAGGGUGCAAGCGUUAUCCGGAUUCACUGGGUUUAAAGGGUGCGUAGGCGGGCAGGUAAGUCCGUGGUGAAAUCUCUGAGCUUAACUCAGAAACUGCCAUGGAUACUAUUUGUCUUGAAUAUCGUGGAGGUAAGCGGAAUAUGUCAUGUAGCGGUGAAAUGCUUAGAUAUGACAUAGAACACCCAUUGCGAAGGCAGCUUACUACACGAUCAUUGACGCUGAGGCACGAAAGCGUGGGGAGCAAACAGG